rnacentral:rRNA from 1 species
AACCUGCGGCAUCUUUACACAUCAAGUCGACCGGCAGCCGGCUUCGCCCUGGUGGCGAGUGCGAACGGUAGUAUACAUCGGAACGUACCCAGAAGUGGGGAUAACGUACGAAAGUUACGCUAAUACCGCAUACGUUCUACGGAAGAAAGUGGGGGAUCGCAAGACCUCAUGCUUUUGGAGGGGCCGAUGUCUGAUUAGCUAGUUGGUGGGGUAAAGGCUCACCAAGGCUUCGAUCAGGAGCUGGUCUGAGAGGACGACCAGCCACACUGGAACUGAGUCCGGUCCAGACUCCUACGGGAGGCAGCAGUGGGGAAUUUUGGACAAUGGGCGCAAGCCUGAUCCAGCAAUGCCGCGUGAGUGAAGAAGGCCUUCGGGUUGUAAAGCUCUUUUUCAGGGAAGAAACGGCUCGGCUAAUAUCCGCGGCUAAUGC